rnacentral:rRNA from 1 species
UACAUGUGGGGCAAGCGUUGUUCGGAAUUACUGGGCAUAAAGGGUGCGUAGGCGGCUUGUUAAGUCAGGGGUGAAAGUUUUCGGCCCAACCGGAAAAUUGCCUUUGAUACUGGCAACCUAGAGACUGGAAGAGGUUAGUGGAAUUCCCAGUGUAGAGGUGAAAUUCGUAGAUAUUGGGAAGAACACCAGUGGCGAAGGCGGCUAACUGGUCCAGCACUGACGCUGAGGUGCGAAAGCGUGGGGAGCAAACAGG